rnacentral:rRNA from 1 species
GAUGAACGCUGGCGGCGUGCCUAAUACAUGCAAGUCGAGCGAACAGACGAGGAGCUUGCUCCUCUGACGUUAGCGGCGGACGGGUGAGUAACACGUGGAUAACCUACCUAUAAGACUGGGAUAACUUCGGGAAACCGGAGCUAAUACCGGAUAAUAUAUUGAACCGCAUGGUUCAAUAGUGAAAGACGGUUUUGCUGUCACUUAUAGAUGGAUCCGCGCCGCAUUAGCUAGUUGGUAAGGUAACGGCUUACCAAGGCGACGAUGCGUAGCCGACCUGAGAGGGGGAUCGGCCACACUGGAACUGAGACACGGUCCAGACUCCUACGGGAGGCAGCAGUAGGGAAUCUUCCGCAAUGGGCGAAAGCUUGACGGAGCAACGCCGCGUGAGUGAUGAAGGUCUUCGGAUCGUAAAACUCUGUUAUUAGGGAAGAACAAAUGUGUAAGUAACUAUGCACGUCUUGACGGUACCUAAUCAGAAAGCCACGGCUAACUACGUG